AAAAAAAUGACCUUAUCGUUAACAAAAUAGUGAAUGCUUCCACAGUGCCUGUUUGUACAGAGUGCUUCACAAGCAUGAGCUCAUGUGAUUUCCUCAUCACUUGCUUUUCCAGCUGUAACAGGUUUGGAGAAGGCAGCUGUGGAUUCUCUUUAGCUUUUGUUUGAGAGGUUUCUCUCUUCCUGGUCAAGAAGCCACAUGACCCGAAUGUAACUAGGACGGUGUUGUUGAGCACUUGCUUGUGGACCCCUCUGGGGUCUGCAGAUGACUGGCAGGAUGCUGGAGCCUGCAGGUUUUGCUAGUUUCCUACUUGCAUGGAUCCUUUCUUGCCCCAGCUCUGGAUAGGUUCCCAGGCUUCAUUAGAAUUCAUGGACGGUUAUCUGCAAAGACUUCUGGACAAGAAGCACAUCCAGUACUUCCUAAAAGAGCAGAUGGGACCAUAGCAAGAAUCUCUUUGCUGCCCGACACAUGAGAAGCGGCCUGCCCAGCUGGCACUUGCUCUCCUACAACCAGCCUCAACAAGGCAUCGAGCUGCCUGCACCAGUGACAGCAAAGCAGCACCUGCCUGUCUGCAGCUCAGGGAUUUUCUCUCGCCCUCAGUCGUACAGCCUUAGCCUUCCAGCACAGAAAAAUGGAUCUGUGGCAGUCAUGGUUCCUGGACUUCUAGAAAUGACUAUAUUCCAGGAGAUGCAGAAAUGCUACUGAACAUGGAUGUGCAGCACCACAGAAAACCUAUGUGGGAUCCUGAUCACCAGUGGAAGCCCGGCUCCUUAGAGAGCUAAGAUGGAACAAAGAAAAUUCCCAGGCCCGGGAACCACCAGAGGUACUACCUUAUUUGCUCAAAAGGUAGGUUAUGCCCAUAAGGGGCAGACCACGCAUGGCUCUACCUCUCUCUCUCUCUCUACACACACACACACUCUCUCUCUCUCUCUCUCUCUCCUGCUUUUAUUGUGCCAUUUUGGAUCUGUAGGAACUUGGGCUUGAAGAGCUACAUGAUCUGAAAUUCAGCAUGUAUCAGCUAGUAGGUUUAGGUUAUGUCCCGAGAGGGAUGUGCCUCCAGGUGGCUGUGACCUCACUUUCACAGUUCAUGCAGAGGAAAGUCAUCCUUGUGGUCCUGGGAGAGCUGGUCUGUUGCUGCCCAGGUUUGCCUGCACUGCCAGCAUGGCUCUCACAGCCCCCCAAAUUGUUUUCCUCUGAAAGGUUCAAAUCUUGACUCUGAAACAGACCUCAUAAUGAAACACCUAUGGGAAAAGUCUAUUCUCUGGCCUCUUUCCUGAGCUCAAUAAUGUUUAAUUUUUAAAAGCGGGGGAGGGAGGGAGGGAAAGAAGAAGUCUCUGAUAUUUCUCCAGUGCACUUGGCUCUCAUAGAUGGCCUUGGCCAAAACUCACCACCAGCGAUUGUGCCAGAACACCUGGUUUGAAUUCUGGCUGCCAUGCUGCUUCAUUUAAUGAGAUGGUCCCAACUUACUUUACUAUUUAAAAAGAAUUUGAGGCCAGAUGCAGUGGCUCAUGCUUUUAAUCUCAGCACUUUAGGAGGCCGAGGUGGGCUGAUCAUGAGGUC
rnacentral:lncRNA from 1 species